CCCUCCUUCUGACACCAUUACUUCCAAUUAACUCUAGUCUCUCUUCCCUCUACAAUUUUGUGGAAUGAAGUAAUUCUAAGAGAUGGGAGAAGUUGGCAUGACUGAGUUUGUGCCUCUCUCUCCCUCCUUUCUCUUCCUUCUUUUCUGCCUUUCUUCUAAAUGAUGCAGGAUCUCACUGUGUAGCUUUGAAUGACCGGCUUGUUUUAACCACCAGCGUGCAGAGAUCUUGAGAAGAUUGGAGGCAAGCAAGCACUUCUCCCUGCCAGUCCUAUGUAAAGCGUCACCGACAGGAGCCUUGUAUGGCUGCCAUCUGAAGGAGCCAACAAGUAGCUGAAAGAAUCAGAUGCAGAGACUUAUACCCAACAAAUGGACAGAAGCCGGAAGCCCUGGGGUUGAAUUAAGGGAAAACAGGAAGAAGCCAAGGAGGAGGGCUACCCUAUAUGAAGACUAGCAGUCUCAACUAACUUGGACCCCUGUGAUCUCUCAGACACUGAGCCACCAACUAGGCAGCAUACACGAGCUGAUAUGAGGCCCUGAACACGAACACAGAAGAGGAUUGCCUGAUCUGGCCUCAGUGAGAGAAGAUGUGCCUAACCAUCAAUGGACUUACGGCCCCAUACAGUGGAGAGGCCAGAGAGAGUUGCCUCCACAAGACGCUUCAUACGGCAUGGUAAAGGCAGGUUCUUGUU